GGUUCUGGCAUCGAUGAAGAACGCAGCGAAAUGCGAUAAGUAAUGUGAAUUGCAGAAUUCAGUGAAUCAUCGAAUCUUUGAACGCACAUUGCGCCCUUUGGUAUUCCGGAGGGCAUGCCUGUUCGAGCGUCAUUUCACCACUCAAGCCUGGCUUGGUA
rnacentral:rRNA from 1 species